GAUCAUCGAUCCCUUCAGACCGGAGCAAUCGAUAGAUCGGCGCAGGCGCACUGUGUGGUGACGCUGGUGAACGGCCCAGACAGACACAAAAUGCUGGAGUAACUCAGUCAGCGGGACAGGCAGCGUCUCUGGAGAGAAGGAAUGGGUGACGUUUGCAUAUCAUACUGGUUAUUACUUUGUUGAAUACUGCAGGAAACCUCCAGGGCAAACCAAUGAAAGCGGUGAUGCAACAGAGCAACAGUUUCUGUGGACAAACACAAAAGGCUGCAGUAAUUCAGCGGAUGUAUUGCAUUAUGUGUGAACUAAAAAUUAGCAUAUACGAGCGUUCAUUUUUAGCUCAUCGCAUUGCAACAGAAACUAACGAAGAGAUCGUGGUGCCCCUGAGCUUCCUGCCCUUGAAGGAUAGAAUGUGAAGUCAAUGUGCACAUACUGUAUGUGCAAAGCAAGCAAAAUAUCAAUCAAAUAAAGACUUGCAUUAUUUUAAAGUUGCAUGUUGAGCUCAGAACUUUGAGAAAGUACUUCAAAUGAAUCGUGCCAGUGUUAAAAUGUUCCAAUUGUUUAUUUGGUGAAAAUAUUUUUGAUGUGUUUGAUAUGAAUAAUUAAACAAUCUCUCUUGAUACAAA